rnacentral:pre_miRNA from 1 species
AAAGUACUCCCUCCGUCCCAAAAUUCUUGUCUUAGAUUUGUCUAGAUACAGAUGUAUCAAGUCACAUUUUAGUAUUAGAUACAUCCAUAUCUAGACAAAUCUAAGACAAGAAAUUUGGGACAGAGGGAGUAGCUG